rnacentral:rRNA from 1 species
CCUACGGGAGGCAGCAGUGGGGGAUAUUGCACAAUGGGGGAAACCCUGAUGCAGCGACGCCGCGUGAGUGAAGAAGUAUUUCGGUAUGUAAAGCUCUAUCAGCAGGGAAGAAAAUGACAGUACCUGACCAAGAAGCCCCGGCUAACUACGUGCCAGCAGCCGCGGUAAUACGUAGGGGGCAAGCGUUAUCCGGAAUCACUGGGUGUAAAGGGAGCGUAGACGGCUGAGCAAGCCUGAAGUGAAAGGCGGGGGCCCAACCCCCGGACUGCUUUGGGAACUGUACGGCUGGAGUGCAGGAGAGGUAA